UACGAAGGGGGCUAGCGUUGCUCGGAAUCACUGGGCGUAAAGCGCACGUAGGCGGAUUGUUAAGUCGGGGGUGAAAUCCUGGAGCUCAACUCCAGAACUGCCUUCGAUACUGGCGAUCUUGAGUCCGGGAGAGGUGAGUGGAACUCCGAGUGUAGAGGUGAAAUUCGUAGAUAUUCGGAAGAACACCGGUGGCGAAGGCGGCUCUCUGGGCCUUACCUGACGCUGAGGAGCGAAAGCGUGGGUAGCGAACAGG
rnacentral:rRNA from 1 species